UCAGAGCAGCAUGGUACGGUUCUCGUUAGAUCACCGAAGUCAAGCAUCAUUGGGCGCGGUCAGUACUUGGCUGGGUGACCACCUGGGAACACGGCGUGCCGUU